rnacentral:rRNA from 1 species
AGUCUGGUGCCAGCAGCCGCGGUAAUUCCAGCUCCAAUAGCGUAUAUUUAUGUUGUUGCAGUUGAAACGCUCGUAGUUGGAUUUCAGGACGGAACGACUGGUCUGCCACUUUGUGGUGUGUACCGGUUUGUCUGUUCUUUUCUUUGAGGAUUCAUUCUGUCCUUUAUUGGAUGGUUUGUGGACUCAAAUCUUUUACUUUGAAAAAAUUAGAGUGUUUAAAGCAGGCGUUAUGCCUUGAAUACAUUAGCAUGGAAUAAUGAAAUAGGACUUUGGUUCUAUUUUGUUGGUUUCUAGAACUAAAGUAAUGAUUAAUAGGGGCAGUUGGGGGCAUUAAUAUUUAAUUGUCAGAGGUGAAAUUCUUGGAUUUAUGAAAGAUUAACUACUGCGAAAGCAUUUGUCAAGGAUGUUUUCAUUAAUCAAGAACGAAAGCGUGGGGAUCGAAGAUGAUCAGAUACCGUCGUAGUCCACGCCCGAACCGAUGCCAUCUAGGAAUUGGUGGAUGUUCAUUUAUGACUCCAUCAGCGUCUUCCGAGAAAUCAAAGAUUUUGGGUUCUGGGGGGAGUAUGGUCGCAAGGCUGAAACUUAAAGGAAUUGACGGAAGGGCACCACCAGGAUUGGAGCCUGCGGCUUAAUUUGACCCAACACGGGAAAACUUACCAGGUCCAGACAUAGUAAGGAUUGACAGAUUGAGAGCUCUUUCUUGAUUCUAUGCGUGGUGGUGCAUGGCCGUUCUUAGUUGGUGGAUUGAUUUGUCUGCUUAAUUGCGAUAACGAACGAGACCUUAACCUGCUAAAUAGCUACGCGAACCCUAGGUUCGUGGCCAGCUUCUUAGAGGGACUAUAUAAGACAAUUAUAUGGAAGUUUGAGGCAAUAACAGGUCUGUGAUGCCCUUAGAUGUUCUGGGCCGCACGCGCGCUACACUGACGAAUUCAACAAGUUUUAACCUUGACCGAUAGGUCUGGGUAAUCUUUUAAAAGUUCGUCGUGCUGGGGAUUGACAAUUGCAAUUUUUUGUCAUGAACGAGGAAUUCCUAGUAAGCGCGAGUCAUCAGCUCGCGUUGAUUACGUCCCUGCCCUUUGUACACACCGCCCGUCGCUCCUACCGAUUGGAUGGUCCGGUGAAGUCUUCGGACCAUUGCGAGCAACUGGUUCGCCAGUAGCUCUGUAGUGGGAAGUUGGUUUAACCUUAUCAUCUAGAGGAAGGAAAAGUCGUA